UACAGAGGGGGCAAGCGUUAUUCGGAAUUAUUGGGCGUAAAGGGCGCGUAGGCGGCAUGGCAAGUGGAAGGUGAAAUCCCUCGGCUUAACCGAGGAACUGCCCUCCAAACUGCUUUGCUUGAGGCCGGGAGAGGUGAGUGGAUUUCCCAGUGUAGCGGUGAAAUGCGUAGAUAUUGGGAGGAACACCAGUGGCGAAAGCGGCGCACUGGACCACAACUGACGCUGAGGCGCGAAAGCUAGGGGAGCAAACAGG
rnacentral:rRNA from 1 species